rnacentral:lncRNA from 1 species
AGAGAGAGAUAGGUAUGACGCUACCGCUUCGUUUAUUUCAUUUAGAAAUAAAUUUAGCUGGAAAUCUGAAUCAACUAGGAUUCAAACUUGGGUCUCGGAUACCAACCACCAAGCCCUUUGCCACUUGCUCUAGGGACGGUCGGUAGUUACUUUUGCUAGAGUACAGGUCUAGGAAACAAAUGCAAAAUGCUGUUCAUUUAUCUUGAUAUUUGUGUGGAUGCGCUGGAACGGGUGAGAUCGAUUACUCUCAGGAUAAAAUUACUCUCUGUAAUUGCAACAUUCCGUUUGUAGAUCUAACUGUUGUA